rnacentral:rRNA from 1 species
UACGUAGGUGGCAAGCGUUGUCCGGAAUUACUGGGCGUAAAGAGCUCGUAGGUGGUUUGUCGCGUUGUUCGUGAAAACUCACAGCUUAACUGUGGGCGUGCGGGCGAUACGGGCAGACUGGAGUACUGCAGGGGAGACUGGAAUUCCUGGUGUAGCGGUGGAAUGCGCAGAUAUCAGGAGGAACACCGGUGGCGAAGGCGGGUCUCUGGGCCGAUACUGACGCUGAGGAGCGAAAGCGUGGGGAGCGAACAGG